rnacentral:rRNA from 1 species
GAGUUUGAUCAUGGCUCAGAUUCAAUGCUGGCGGCAUGCCUAACACAUGCAAGUCGAACGAGGUGUCGCAAUACACCUAGUGGCGGACGGGUGAGUAAUACGUAGGAAUCUGCCUCAGAGUGGGGGAUAGCCCGGGGAAACUCGGAUUAAUACCGCAUGAUCUCGCAAGAGCAAAGCAGGGGACCGCAAGGCCUUGUGCUCUGAGAGGAGCCUACGUCUGAUUAGCUAGUUGGCGGGGUAAUGGCCCACCAAGGCAACGAUCAGUAACUGGUCUGAGAGGACGAUCAGUCACACCGGAACUGAGACACGGUCCGGACUCCUACGGGAGGCAGCAGUGGGGAAUAUUGGACAAUGGGCGAAAGCCUGAUCCAGCAAUGCCGCGUGUGUGAAGAAGGCCUUCGGGUUGUAAAGCACUUUAGUCAGGGAAGAAAAAGCUCAAGCUAAUAUCUUGAGUGUUGACGGUACCUGAAGAAUGAGCACCGGCUAACUCUGUGCCAGCAGCCGCGGUAAUACAGAGGGUGCGAGCGUUAAUCGGAUUUACUGGGCGUAAAGCGUGUGUAGGUGGCUGUUCAAGUCGGUUGUGAAAUCCCCGGGCUCAACCUGGGAAUUGCUUCCGAGACUGAGCGGCUAGAGUACGGUAGAGGGCGGUGGAAUUUCCGGUGUAGCGGUGAAAUGCGUAGAUAUCGGAAGGAACACCAAUGGCGAAGGCAGCCGCCUGGGCCUGUACUGACACUGAGACACGAAAGCGUGGGGAUCAAACAGGAUUAGAUACCCUGGUAGUCCACGCCGUAAACGAUGAGAACUUGACGUCGGCAUGCUCUGCGUGUCGGUGUCGUAGCUAACGCGAUAAGUUCUCCGCCUGGGGAGUACGGCCGCAAGGUUAAAACUCAAAUGAAUUGACGGGGACCCGCACAAGUAGUGGAGCAUGUGGUUUAAUUCGAAGAUACGCGCAGAACCUUACCAACACUUGACAUGUUCGUCGCGACUCUAAGAGAUUAGAGUUUUCGGUUCGGCCGGACGAAACACAGGUGCUGCAUGGCUGUCGUCAGCUCGUGUCGUGAGAUGUUGGGUUAAGUCCCGCAACGAGCGCAACCCUCACUUUUAGUUGCCAUCAUUUAGUUGGGCACUCUGAAAGAACUGCCAGUGAUAAGCUGGAGGAAGGUGGGGAUGACGUCAAGUCCUCAUGGCCCUUAUGUGUUGGGCUACACACGUGCUACAAUGGCAUCUACAACAGGAAGCAAAACAGCGAUGUUAAGCAAAUCCCGAAAAGAUGCCUCAGUUCGGAUUGCACUCUGCAACUCGAGUGCAUGAAGCUGGAAUUACUAGUAAUCGUGGAUCAGCGUGCCACGGUGAAUGCGUUCCCGGGUCUUGUACACACCGCCCGUCACACCAUGGGAGUUGGUUCUACCUUAAGGCAAAGUUUAAAACCUUUGACCACGGUAUAGUCAGCGACUGGGGUGAAGUCGUAACAAGGUAACC